AAGGGUUCUAAUGCGUUUCCUUUUUACUUAAGGGAAACUUUGGAGUAAAAACUAAGCUGUUUCUUAUAUGCAUACCAUUUAUGGUAUGACUCUCUUAUUUAUGAUCUAAUUACAGACAUCUGCUCCCAUUCUUAUUAUAGUGUUUGUUCUUUAAUAUAUACCAAGCUUGUGUCUACUUAAGCAUCUUUGCAUGUAUGCUUUCUACUUGAAUGCAUGACUUAGAGAUCCCCACAACAAAAGCUGCAUCCUUCCUGUUACUGAGGUUUCAUCUCAGAAAGAUGUUCCCUGACCUGCCUGUCUAAACCCACUGGCCCUAUCAGUCACCUGAAGUUAUAUCCUGUAACUGCUUAGCCGCUUCCCCACUGCUGAUGUUUCUCUUUUUCCUGAAUGUGUGCUCACAAGAGUGGAGUGUUUUAAUGUUUUGCUCACUGUUGUUCCUCAGGAGUCUAGAAGAGUGCUCAGAGCCUUAGUAGGUUCCUAGACACUGGGUGGAUAGUGACCAUAUCCAUUCCUAUUCCCAACUGCAUGCACUCUAAGCAUUCUAAGGACAGGUAGCCUGUGUUACCCACCAUCAUUGCCAGUACUUAGAGCCAAACAUGAAUCUCAUUAGCUCUUUAAACAAACUUAAAAUGUUGAAUGAGUGAAUGAAUUCUCUAACUCAGUGGCUCUAGUGAAGUCAUAUUUCUAUUCAUGCCAUGAAUAUUAUCUAAAGGGCUUUUCUGCCUGUACUUUCCACUUCUUCCCUGGCACGAUUCACCUUUAGCUUUCAAUACCAGUUUGUUUCGUUCUGUGUUCUUGGUUUACUUUCUCUGUCCUUUCUACCAGUCUCUAACCAAAUAGUUUCCAUUUCCUUUUAUGUUAAAGGCCUUCAACUAUAACUAGUUAAGUUAUAUGCUUAUACAGUCUUAUGCUGUACCUGAUAUGUUGUUACAACUUUGCCUUCUUCUUCUUUGACUAUGAGAGUCUGAAAAUUCUUAGUUAUGUUUGCAAACCAAUAAUAGUAAUGGAUAUUUCAUGUUUCAUACUACCUUCUUGAUAAAAGUUUUCUGCAUUGCUUUGUAAUCUUUGUAACAGCUGUGUUGAUUUUUUUAAAACAUUUUAUAAAUACCAAAACUGAGGCUCAAUUUUUUUUAGUAAUAAUAAAUUACAUCAUCUCUCCCAUUCUCUUUCUAGUUCUAUAAGCCACCCUCUUCCAAGUUCCUGGCCUCUUUUUACUUAUAUAUGCAUCAACAUAUAAACACAACCUGCUGCAUCCAUGUAGCCUUGUUUGUAUGCGUAUCAUUUCAGGACUGACUGCUUGGUGUUAGCUAACCCAUCAGGGGCUCAUCCUUGAGGAGACUAAUUCUCCCUCUCUCAGCAGUUCUUGGUUGUCUGUAGUUCUGUUUUCUGGGGGUGAGGCUCAAUGAGACCCCCCUCCCCCACAUCCAGUUUAGCAUGUCUAUUAGUGUUGCCCUUCUUCAGGUUUUGUGUAGACAAGUCUUAUUGAGAUAUCAUGAGUAAAAGUUCCCUGUAAUUUCUAGGAGGCACAUUCUCACAACAGACUUCUUGGUCCUCUGGCUCUUCUGCCCCAUCUUUUGUAAUGUUCCCUGAGAGACCCUCUACUUGGCCACACCAGCCUCUUUCCUAAUAAAUUAUAAAGUUGAGUCAUUUGGUGUCCACUUUCAUCCUGCUCACUGUUAUGUGACCACUUUCCUCAAAUCUCAUCCUUUCUUUCACAAGGUCACAAAGAAAUGAGAAAGCCAACUCCUCUUUCUAUCUCUGUUGCUAGAAAUAUAUCAAUAUCUGUGUUCAUUCUUCGCUCAUUCCUGUCUGAGAUGAAUAGAAAUACUUCUCUCUGUUUUGGAAACCAUCUUCUCUUUGCCAAGUUUUACUAUGUAAAAUCUCAAACAAGAAAGAAUAGAAAACAACACUCAUAAAUACAUCAUGUAUGGCUAAUAAUUACUAACAUGUUACCAUGUCAUGUUUCAGCUACAUCUACAAGUUUCAAGGUAUUUUAUAUAUAGCCAUGUCACUUUAUUAAUUUCAAAGGCUUUUCUGUAAAACAUUUCCUAUAAAAUAUAUUUACCCUAUUUAUCAAGACAUUUUCUUAAUAUUAUAUUUUUUACAUUCAAUUUCCCAAAUUAUCUAAAAAAUUGUGUUUUGCAGUUGGUUGGUUUAAAAUAAGACAACUGGGAAGAGUGUUCAUUGAUUUCUCUUUAGAAUGGUCUGAAAGAAAUGGACAAGAAUGUUCUACCUGAUACUCCGGUUAUGCCAUUUCCUUGGAACAUCAUUACAUUUAGUGUUCCAUGCCUAGCCUUUUAUAUGUAGAAGUUACAUCUAAAUGUUUUAUUGCAUUUAGAUGAAACACUUUUAGUAAAGAAACAACAACAAACAAACAAACAACAAACCUCUAAAAACAGCAAAUGUCAUGGUAUUUCCCCAUUUAUUUAUGGUGUUCUUUGAUCACUUGUUUAAGACAAUGACAACUUUCUAUACCAUUCCCUAGCAGUGAAAAGGAGUUACAGGGCAUUGUGAGACCAUAUUGCUUCACUUCCUAGUUUUGUUUCCUACAGAUGAUACCCUUUCCCAGGUUACUGAAAUAAUUACUUCCUUUAUUUUGUAGGCGAUUAUCCCAGCUUACUUCCUAUGUUUCUACCAUCUGACUCUUUGCCUGGCUUACCUGUGGGCAUAGAACAUUGUGAAUGAAAUGGCCUCAUUGGCCUUGCACCACAACCUGUUAGUUACUUUUUCUCGUCCUCUUUUAUCUCAAGGUCUAGAAAAGUCAACAUUCUAUCCUUGCUGCGUUGUGUCCAGAUUUGGCUUUACUCCACACACUUCUUUACUCACUUUUUAUGAUCUAAUCCAUUCCCAUGACUGCCGCUAUAAAACGGAUGUUGAGUUUCUAACAUCCUGGGUGGCACUUCCUGUACAAAAGUGCAAACACUCAAGAGACUUCUGUGCUCUUCAUCCUUUCAAGCACCCGACUCUUCCAGUUUUCCCAUCUCCAUGGACAGUACCUAUUGGUAGUUAAUAUACUUUAUUUUUGUGCUUUCAUGUAUCAAAACUCUAACUUGUGAAACUUGCGUCUUCUCAAAGUCCAUUUGGAUCUUUCUUGCUUCUGCUUGCUUUUCCUCCUGGCUAGGAUGUCUUCCACCUUGCUUCUGAACACUUGUCUUCCUUCAAAACCAGGAGGAAGCAUCACUCCUGUAUGACUGACUUCCACAAGGAGGUAAUGAUUGUUGGCUCCAUUUUAUAGCUGUUCUUUGUAAUCGCUGCCAGAAGAGGCAGUGUGCACACUGCCUGGACUAUUUUUUCCCCUCCCUCUGCUCUUUAAGCUUUCUGAAAUUAUGUUUCUUUGGUAUUUUUCUGCAGCUUGUAUCUGUUGUUCAGUUAAACAGUCAGGAAGUAUUUGCAUGUAUUGACCUCUCCACUUCUUUUGAUUUUAGCCAGUGAGAAGUUCUGGGGGGUGAAAUAUUGGUGAUGGUGGUGAUAAGUGAUAUUUCUCCCUAUCAAUUGUCUUUUCUUCCUAUGCCAAAGAAUCUGAGUGUUGGUGUAUUUGAUAGAUAUUUUAAAAGAAGAUAAUUUCUGCCUAUUUCUUUCUCUCUCCAAUUUUUAAGGAAGAAGUCAGUUAGUUAG
rnacentral:lncRNA from 1 species